ensembl:snRNA U6 U6 spliceosomal RNA
GUGCUUACUUUGGCAGCACAUAUACUAAAAUUCGAACAAUACAGAGAAGAUUAGUAUGGCCCCUGUGCAAGGAUGACAUUUAAAUUCAUGAAAUGUUCCAUAUUUUC